UACAGAGAAGAUUAGCAUGGCCCCUGCACAAGGAUGACACGCAAAUUCGUGAAGCAUUCCAUAUUUUU
rnacentral:snRNA from 1 species